AUUGAACGCUGGCGGCAGGCCUAACACAUGCAAGUCGAACGAGUGGCGGACGGGUGAGUAAUGUCUGGGAAACUGCCUGAUGGAGGGGGAUAACUACUGGAAACGGUAGCUAAUACCGCAUACCCCCAAAUGUGCCCAGAUGGGGUGGGCUAGUGGGGGGGGGAACGGCUCACCUAGGCGACGAUCCCUAGCUGUUCUGAGAGGAUGACCAGCCACACUGGAACUGAGACACGGUCCAGACUCCUACGGGAGGCAGCAGUGGGGAAUAUUGCACAAUGGGCGCAAGCCUGAUGCAGCCAUGCCGCGUGUAUGAAGAAGGCCUUCGGGUUGUAAAGUACUUUCAGCGGGGAGGCGUUACCCGCAGAAGAAGCACCGGCUAACUCCGUGCCAGCAGCCGCGGUAAUUC
rnacentral:rRNA from 1 species